UUGCAAACUGGAACAUUACGAUGUCCAUAGUCUGGAGGAACACCCACCAAUAUUGGAAAGAGGUUCUGCCCUUCUGCGCUUUACAAGGACUACUGUCCAGUGGAUAUAGAGGGAAGUACAUGUGUGGAUUUUGGAUCGUGACAGUAUUGGACUUGAAUGCAGGACUCUCUGCAAUUAAAUACACCAGUGAAGACAGUGAGAAGUGCAACUGAGAGGCAAUUGGAGAACAGCUGCUGUAUAUGACACCAAUUUCAGGUUUGCCAUCUGCAGACAGCUAUGUUGACAACAGAGAAGGGCAGAAGAUUGUUGGAAGUGGAAGUGGGUCUGCUAAUUACUGGUGGUAGUGUCCAAUGAAUGCAGAGGUCCAAUUUUAUGGGAGUACUCUUGGUGGGCGGGGCAAGAAGUCCUGUCUUCCACACAUCUCUGUGCCUCCUGAGGCCCAGUAAAUAUGGCCUGGUGAUAUUAAAUCUAAAAAUGGUGUUAAAUGAGAGGUACGUAGCCUCCUCAAAAUAUUUCAGUGACCAAUCUGCACAUUGAGAGUGGUUGAUAACCUUCUCUGAGAAGCUAAAAUGACCUUCCAUGGACUUCCCAUAGUGUCCUUGUCAGCAACACUCA